GCCGGGAACGGUGGCACAUGCCUGUAGUCCCAGCUACUGAGGAGCCUGAGGUGGGAGGAUCGCUUGAGCCCAGGAGUUCUGGGCUGUAGUGCACUAUGCCGAUCGGGUGUCAGCACUAAGUUCAGCAUCAAUAUGGUGACGUCCUGGGAGCGGGGGACCACCAGGUUGCCUAAGCAGGGGUGAACUGGCCCAGGUCGGAAAUGGAACAGGUCAAAACUCCCGUGCUGAUCAGUAGUGGGAUCGCGCCUGUGUAUAGCCAUUGCACUCCAGCCUGGGCAACAUAGCGAGACCUCAUCUCU
rnacentral:SRP_RNA from 1 species